GUAGGUGAACCUGCGGAAGGAUCAUUAUUGAAUAAACUUGAACAGGCUGUUUUGCUGGCCCCCCUUGUGGGGUAAGUGCACGCUUGUCAUCUUUGUUUCUCCCAACUGUGCACAUAUUGUAGACCCUGGAUUGAGGAUUGCCAUGUGGGCUUUCCUUGCAUUUUUCUCCAGGUCUAUGUUGUUUUCACAAUCUCUGAAUGUCAUUAGAAUGUUUGUUGGAAAUAUAUAUAUACAACUUUCAGCAAUGGAU
rnacentral:misc_RNA from 1 species